rnacentral:sRNA from 1 species
AGACGGAGGAGAUCGCCGGCAUGUUGCCCCCGCGCCGGUGGGCUCCUUCGGGGGGCGGGCUUCGUGCCCGCUCCCUUAAACCUUCCGUUGGACAACGCCCCCCUCCGUCGGAAGGAACUCGGGCGGUGAAGUCCCCCCAAGCUUCACCGCCCACCUUU